AAUAAAUAAAAGAAAACAAUUUGUCAAGAAGAAAGAAGAAAAUCAUUAAUGAAAACUAAUAAUCCUGUAACAUUAUUCCUUUUCUUUUUUCUCUUUUUUCUUCUCUUAUUGUCUUCAUUCACUUUCUUGCUCUGAUGAGCUUAAUAAAGAAAGUGAUUACAUGAAGACAAUUGAGAGAAAAAGAGAAAAUAAUAAGAAAAGGAAUGGAGACCAUCAUUGGAUUAUUAUUGGAUUAGAAAUUUCUUCACUUGAUCUUCUUCUUGAUCGCCAAUAAAGAAAAGAAA
rnacentral:ribozyme from 1 species